GUGGGGGGAGGGCGGUUUGUGGGCCGGGUCUUCCGGCUCCAGGCGCAGCAGCUCCGCCCGCGAAGCGCGGUUGCUGCCGCGGUUGCCGUAGAGGACGCGCGAGGCGCCGUCGAAGCGGUCGCGCAGCACAUCGCCCACGGCGCGCAGCGUGGGCAGCCGCAUCCAGCACGUGCGCACCGUGCAGGAACCGGACAUCCCGUGGCACUUGCACUCCUGGCGCAUCUCGGAGAAUACGGUCUGCGGGGAGAGGGAAAGAAAGAGUGUCCCAGGGCACCCGGCCAGCGUCACCCUCCCAGACACUGCCCCCUCCCGGACGCCACGGGGGCCGGACCUCAGCAAAGGCCCAGGCCUAGCUGAGCCCAGGGGAAGGGAGGCGCGAAAUGUUCCGCUGAGAUUUGGCAACCCUGCCCAACCCUGCUCCGCCGCGGCGGGUCAGUCUCGUCCUCUCAGGCUUGUUUUCCAAUCUGUAUAGUGAAGAGACUGUGCUUGAUUUGUAACCUCUUCUACCUGCCCGGGGGCCAGGCAUCCCUUUGCCCUCAGCCACUGUCUCCUCUAUUCUCCCGCUUCGUUCCAAGCCUCCAGCUCUCCCAGGACGCCCUCUCCUGGUGCCCCUUGCCUUAUCUCACCGACCGUCUCUUCCCCAGCCCGAGGUUGGCCGCUGCCGCUCCGCUUAGGGUGCGGAGCCUCUCAAAGCUCACCGUACGGCCAGCCUCGUUGUUGUGAAGGUUCAUGAGGAAGCGCAGGUCCCGCCCCUUCUCCCCGGAGUCCACGAACUCCCGGCCGAAGAGGCGGCCGAAGUCAAUGUUGUCGCUGCAGCCCCCCCAGUGCCAGUCGGGGCCCCCGGGGCCGCGCCGCCGGUAGUCACAUGUGCAGGAUUCGAUGGAACCCUCUGAGCAGGAGCGCGCCACGGAAUGGGUGACCCCGGCGGAGGUGAUAGCGAAGAUAAACGCCGUUUCUCGACAGCCUGCGGGAGAAGGGAGCGCGGAUCGGCGAGGAUGUACGCGGAGCGCGGCCAGCACCCUCAGUGAAGGGCUUGGAACCGGAAUCCCACCCCCGACUCCGCACUUAGAGUCCUGAGAGCCAAGGCCGGCAGUGCUGGAAAGCUGGUCUCUAGGGCUAGUAGAGAAAGCAGGUGCGUGGGCACGCAGCCACGUCCACGGGCGUCAUCACACCUUACUGGGAGGUUCCAGGGCGCAUUUUGGCUCGAUAGCGGAAGUGGAGCAGCCCCAGAGAGAAAAACCAAAGAGAGGGGAGCAGAAGAACCAUACAUCCCUAAGACUUCUUCGCAGCCCAAAAGUUUCGGCCCAUGUUGGCUAUGCAAGUCUUGCUAGGCGAGAGGCAAGACACACGCCUGCAGAGAGCAGCUUCCCAGGCGCUUUUGAGAGAGGCUGGGGGAAAGCGGCGGUCAGCCGGCGUCCGCGACCUGAAACUUUAUCUGGGGCAGUAGCUCAGAAAAGUUAAGCUUCGUUUCCAGGGUGCACGGCUGUUAGAAGUCUGGCCCCGAGCUGGCGCUGGGCACCAGGCACUUGGCGGGUUGAUCGUGUGACCCUCUAGGCGCCCGAGACACCUUCUCUGAACUCGCCCGCCCACGCCCUGGGGGUGACCCCGCGUUUCCCCUGCUCCCGGAAGCGUCGCUUUCCUGGGCACCCACCUCGGUUGACGAUCUUGCCGAAGAGGUGGGGCCCUGGAGCAGUGGGACAGUUCCAGCGGCGAUUCCGGAACUGCCACUUACACUCGCGCACGGCACUCUGCAGCCCCCCACUCACGCUGUGCAGGAUCCCCGGAUUUUGGCGUAUCAGACGCCGCUGUUUGCGGCUUAACAGCUGCAGACUGGGCUCGAGUACCAGUUGCAGACUCUUGGAGUCCGUCAGCAGGGACUCCUACUCAGCUUCAAGGCCACUUCGACCUCCUAUUGAAGAAGUGACAGGCUGGGUGCUGUGGCUCACGCCUGUAAUCCCAGCACUUUGGGAGGCCAAGGAUGCCUUCUGACUGAGAAAUUUCCCCAGGCCUGAACCUAGAGUCUCAAGUCCCAGAAAUGACAGGAUUCUCUUCCAAGGCAGGGAAAUCACUCUUAGGAAUAAAUGUCAGCCUAGUAUAUCUGGCCCUUCCAAGGAUCCACCCCUGAGGGAAAAGGUGUAGUGGUCCAGCGUCCUCCAUAGAUCCAAAAGCCAGUAGUCUCUGCAGAGAGGACUCA